rnacentral:misc_RNA from 1 species
UCGGAGAUAGAAGCAGUUAACUCAGCAUCAUGAGUUGGUUAUUUGGGAAUAAGAACAAAAACACGUCGUCAUCUCAAACAAAUUUACAAGCCCACAGAACAAAACAGAUCGAUUCACUGAAGAAGGCGAAUCUAAACCCAAUAGAAGUGAUACCCAAUACAGAAUACAGAAUCACAUUUGCAUCAGGGGGUAUCAACAUCACAUUAGUAGUAUCCCUCCCACCACUGUUUCCUCAAGACCCCCCAUCAAUUUCUGUUCACCCACCUAUUUAUCACCAAUGGGUAGAUUCACAGUCCAAGAUCACCAAUUGCCCAAGUCUUUCAUCCUUCUCAAUGCAUUCCAGUCUAGCUGUGAUAGUACAAUCCAUCAUUGAUGAAUUCAAGUCACUACAACCUCCAUGUCUAGCUUUACGGCUUCGGGGGAAAUGCCAGAAUACUACCAGUCUCCAGGGGGUCACUUUGGGACCAAUCAAACAGAAUCCAUGCAAGUGGCAGAAAAUUCCUCAGAGGAAUCGCUGUCUUUAGAUAAAGUUCCUGAUGUAUUUGCUGCCUUUCCUGAUCUUAAAACUAAAAGUCUUACCGAGUUAUUCGAAUUACAAGAUGAAGAAGACAAAAUCUUAGAAAUGAUUCAGAAACUUCCUCACGUAACAAAAUUUGCUGAGGAGAGGGAGAAGAUUUCUAAUGAAUGUAUUGAGCUUGCAAGAGCUAAUUUAAGCUAUAAGCCUGUACUAGAGCAGCACAGACAGUGGAUUUUGGAGAAGAAAAACCUCUAUCAGAAAACUGAAGAAGAAUUCCAGAGGAAUCAGCAGAGACUGAUGUCUAAGUCUGAGGACUUUCACCCCUCGGUUAUCCAGAACAACUUGAAGGUAGCACUAAUGGAAGCAGAAGAGGAGUCCGAGAAUAUUGUUGAGCAGUUCUUAGAAAAAAAAAUGGAUGCUGAAGAGUUUAAGCAGAGAUUCAUUCAAACUAGAAGUUUAUGUCAUGCGAGGAGAGCAAAGGACGAGAAGUUGACUCACAUCCUUGUACAACAAGGAUACAGUAAUUGAUUUAUUUGAUGAAACCAACGACAAAAUACCUGGUGAAGCCCCAAAACUUAUUUCUGAAAAUAUUCAGUCAUUAUUUUAUUAUUUAUUGGGAAUUUUGAACGGCCAGGAUCUUAUACCUGUUGUACAAUGUACAUUUAAAUGUCUGGAGUAAACACCAAAAUAUGGAUGGCUUUCUUUGAAAUCCCAUUAUACCGUACAUGUACCGGGUACUUUGCAAGAGAAAACUAACUCUUUGCUCUGUGAGAUUCUUGAGUUUGAGUCCUAUUAAUAGGGCGACCAUUUGAUGGCUGUGAUUUUAUUCAUGUUUUGCUACGCUUCCACUAGUGGUGAAGGACAUGUUGUACACAGUACAUGUACAUAUUCACGUGUGAAGUUGUCAUGAUCUCUGUCAAACUGUGUCAUUCACAUACCUCUAAAAGCUCUUGUGUCUGUAACAUAUACAUGUAUUUCAACAAUAUACUGUAAUCUGGGAAAUAUCCCCCCCUUUUAUUUGCACCCCUUAUGCCCUCGUUGUCAUCAGCGAAUUUAUCUCUCUUUAAUCCCAACUGUGUCCGGGCGAAUUGUUUGCAAUUGUAGAGGUCAAAAUUUACAUUGGGUGAAAAUAACCCUGAAUACAGUAAUAAAAUGUGUAUGAAUUGAAAUUGUUUUAUACGAUGAUUUUAAUUUAUGCAUUAUAAAGGGUUUUUUGGUUUUUUUUAAUGUAUGUUUUACUGUUUAUUGGCUUAGAAUAUAUUGUAAAGUAGUACAAUGUACAUGCAUGUACCAAAAUUUAUUUGUAAUAACUUAUGUGUGAAUUUUUGCUCUGAUCCAUAUCAAUUUUACUGGAUUGUAGGUAUACAUGUAUAAUAUGUAACCACAGAGUGCAUAAAAGCAACAAAUUCAAAUGAGCCUGUUAACAUCAGUCAAUUUCUUGUUAGCGUUUUGAUGUUUCAAUCAUAGUUAAAUAUCAUUCUUAAAUGCUUUUAUGUCAGUGAAAACAGAUUAGAUGGAACGGUUUUGUCAUUAACCUAAAGACACAUUUUAAGAUCCAUUUCACUUGGAUAUUUUAUAUGCCUAGAAAAUACCAGUAAAAAUGUACACAUUAAGUUUCAUGUUUAAUAUUUGCCACGAUAAUUCAAAUGAAUUUCAAUUGAGAUACUGAAAACAGCAGGGUUUCUUUUGCCAUAGGUCAUAUAUGCAUGUUCAAGGAAGCCAAAAUUUACUUCUUCUGCAACUCCCAAUCAAGAGAUAAAAUUACAAUGUAGUCAUGCAGAUCCAGAUUUAUGUGUUCUUCCACUAAGUUUACACCAAACAUCCCUGCAAUCCUUGUUGAAUUGUACUCUCUGAAACCUUUUAUUUAUUAAUCUAAUUGUUUACCUGUGUAUGAACAAGAAAAAUAUAAUGCAGAAUGAAAAAAAAAUGUAGAUGGAAUUUUAGUUUUAAAUAUAAUAACCCUUGUUCUGGUUCUGGUUCCAAUUAUAGCAGAUAAUAACACACUGUUAAAAGUUUUGAUCCAUAACAUCAUUAACAUGUGUACUCACAAAUUAAAACACACCAGACUUACUGCUGGACAAGAAGAUCUUGGUGUCAACAUUGAUGGAAAUAUAGCUUUUUCCUGAUAUCAUGGAUAUGUACUGUAUUUGUAGUCGGUAUCUACCGGUAUUUGUUAAUCAACGUGUAUGACUGCAUUUGUACUAUCGAUAAUAAGUGUGUUAAUGUACCUUACAUAUAUGUUGAACACGAGUUCUGAGAACUGAUUACCGUAGCAGUUUUGUGUUAGUGUGUACUGUGUACAAGAUGUGGCAGUUAAGUGAUAGCAUGUCAGUAUAUCAUUUUGUUAAGAGAUGAGAGACAGUUGUUUUGAAUAAAUAUUGUUACC